rnacentral:misc_RNA from 1 species
GAUGAAGAACGCAGCGAAAUGCGAUAAGUAGUGUGAAUUGCAGAAUUCCGUGAAUCAUCGAAUCUUUGAACGCACAUUGCGCCUUCUGGUAUUCCGGAAGGCAUGCCUGUUCGAGAGUCAUUAACAACCGUUUCGAUCCCUUUCUUUCAGAAAUUACAAAGAGGAAAAGGGUUUGGUUAUGGUGGAGGAGGGAAAGGGAGCGUUUAGCCUGUAAAAAAAGAGGCUGUGUUCCGCCUCCCCCCCAAAAUUGUACAGGCGGUCGUGUGCGCCCACGCAUCGAGGUGUUGUAAAAGCUGCCACGGCACUUUUCACCUGUGCAGUGCGAGAUUGGCCAGCCGGUUUAAAAACCCCUCCAAACAAUCAAGGGUUGACCUCGGAUCAGGUAGGGAUACCCGCUGAACUUAAGCAUAUCAUAAGCGGAGGA